ACACAAGCCAUGCAUGCCCGCGCACCCGGGAGGCGGCGGACGGCUCAGGACAACGGUUGCACCCCCCGCGGCGGUCCCUGCUAGCCGGACACCGCUGGCAACCCGGCGCCAAGACGUGCGCGCAAGGGCGGGCGCCCGCGGGCGAGCAGCGUGACGCAGCGACGGCCCGCCCGGGCUUCCGGGGCAUCACCCGGUCGGCGCGGUCGCGGCGCGCCGAGGGCCCGACGC
rnacentral:rRNA from 1 species